rnacentral:rRNA from 1 species
UACGUAGGGACCGAGCGUUGUCCGGAUUCAUUGGGCGUAAAGAGCUCGUAGGCGGCCACUCAAGUCGGAUGUGAAACCUCGAGGCUUAACCUCGAGCCUGCAUUCGAUACUGGGCGGCUAGAGUCUGGUAGGGGGAUCUGGAAUUCCUGGUGUAGAGGUGAAAUUCGUAGAUAUCAGGAGGAACACCGGUGGCGAAGGCGGCUUCCUGGACACUUACUGACGCUGAGACGCGAAAGCGUGGGGAGCAAACAGG